rnacentral:rRNA from 1 species
GUGCAGCAGUCGAGAAUAUUCCACAAUGGGCGAAAGCCUGAUGGAGCGACACCGCGUGUGAGAUGAAGGCCCUAGGGUCGUAAAUCGCUUUUAUUAGGGAUCAAUGUACUGAGCGUACCUAAUGAAUAAGAGGUUACUAACUCUGUGCCAGCAGUAGCGGUAAUACAGAGACCUCAAGCGUUAUCCGGGUUUAUUGGGCGUAAAGCGUAUGUAGGCGGGUGUGUUAGUCGUGGGUCAAAUUUCAGGAGCUUAACUCUGAAGCUGCUUACGAAACGGCACAUCUAGAGAAAGUGAGAGAUGACUGGGAACUCAUGGUGUAGUAGUGAAAUGCGUUGAUAUC